rnacentral:rRNA from 1 species
UACGGGGGGGGGCAAGCGUUGUUCGGAAUUAUUGGGCGUAAAGGGCGCGUAGGCGGCCUUUCAAGUGACGGGUGAAAUCCCUCGGCUUAACCGAGGAACUGCCUGUCAGACUGGAAGGCUUGAGACCGGGAGAGGUGAGUGGAAUUCCCAGUGUAGCGGUGAAAUGCGUAGAUAUUGGGAGGAACACCAGUGGCGAAGGCGGCUCACUGGACCGGUACUGACGCUGAGGCGCGAAAGCGUGGGGAGCAAACAGG